GAUGAACGCUGGCGGCGUGCCUAAUACAUGCAAGUCGAGCGAACAGACGAGGAGCUUGCUCCUCUGACGUUAUCGGCGGACGGGUGAGUAACACGUGUAUAACCUACCUAUAAGACUGGGAUAAUUUCGGGAAACCGGAGCGCAUGCCGGAUAAUAUAUUGAACGGCAUGGUUCAAUAGUGAAAGACGGUUUUGCUUGGGGUAAUAGAUGGAUCCGCGCCGCAUUAGCUAGUUGGUAAGGUGACGGCUUACCAAGGCAACGAUGCGUAGACGACCCGAGAGGGUGAUCGGCCACACUGGAACUGAGACACGGCCCCGACUCCUACGGGAGGCAGCAGUAGGGAAUCUUCCGCAAUGGGCGAAAGCCUGACGGAGCAAAGCCGCGUGAGUGAUGAAGGUCUUCGGAUCGGAAAACUAUGUUAUUAGGGAAGAACAAAUGUGUAAGUAACUAUGCACGUCUUGACGGUACCUAAUCAGAAAGCCACGGCUAACUACGUG
rnacentral:rRNA from 1 species